CACCGCCUUUUCACGGCGGUAACAUGUACCCAUGCCGAACACAGAAGUUAAGCCCUAGAACGCCGGAAGUAGUUGGGGGUUGCCCCCUGUGAGAUAGGGAAGUCGCUUAGCU
rnacentral:rRNA from 1 species